AACGAACGCUGGCGGCAUGCCUAACACAUGCAAGUCGAACGAGACCUUCGGGUCUAGUGGCGCACGGGUGCGUAACGCGUGGGAACCUGCCCUUAGGUUCGGAAUAACUCCCCGAAAGGGGUGCUAAUACCGGAUAAUGUCUUCGGACCAAAGAUUUAUCGCCUUUGGAUGGGCCCGCGUUGGAUUAGCUAGUUGGUAGGGUAAAAGCCUACCAAGGCGACGAUCCAUAGCUGGUCUGAGAGGAUGAUCAGCCACACUGGGACUGAGACACGGCCCGGAAUCCUACGGGAGGCAGCAGUGGGGAAUAUUGGACAGUGGGCGAAAGCCUGAUCCAGCAAUGCCGCGUGAGUGAUGAAGGCCUUAGAGUAGUAAAGCUCUUUUACCCGGGAUGAUAAUGACAGUACCGGAAGAAUAAGCGCCGGCUAACUCCGUG
rnacentral:rRNA from 1 species